rnacentral:rRNA from 1 species
UGUCUCUUAAUUAGAGACUAGUAUGAACGGCUAAAUGAGGGCCUAACUGUCUCCCGUAAAUAAUCAAUGAAACUGAUCUUCCAGUACAAAAGCUGAAAUACACCCAUAAGACGAGAAGACCCUAUGGAGCUUUAAACUUACUUGCUAAACAAAAAACUACUAGUCAACUUUGCCUACUUAAACUACAAAUAUAGCAAUAAAACUUCAGUUGGGGCAACUUUGGAAAAAAAAAGAACUUCCAAGCAAUAGAAUUACACAUUCAACUAAGACCUACACGUCUACGUAAUAAUUUAUUGACCCAGUCAUACUGAUCAACGAACUAAGUUACCCUAGGGAUAACAGCGCAAUCCUCUUUAAGAGUCCCUAUCGCCAAGAGGGUUUACGACCUCGAUGUUGGAUCAGGACACCCAAGUGGUGCAGCCGCUACUAAAGGUUCGUUUGUUCAACGAUUAACAGU